rnacentral:rRNA from 1 species
UACGUAGGGGGCUAGCGUUGUCCGGAAUUACUGGGCGUAAAGGGCGCGUAGGCGGGAUGGCAAGUCGGUCGUGAAAUCCCUCGGCUCAACUGAGGAUCGUCGAUCGAUACUGCCGUUCUUGAGGAUUGCAGAGGAGACUGGAAUUCCCGGUGUAGCGGUGAAAUGUGUAAAGAUCGGGAGGAACACCGGUGGCGAAGGCGGGUCUCUGGGCAAUUCCUGACGCUGAGGCGCGAAAGCGUGGGGAGCAAACGGG